CAGCCGCCGCGGUAAUACGAAGGGGGCUAGCGUUGUUCGGAUUUACUGGGCGUAAAGCGCACGUAGGCGGACUUUUAAGUCAGGGGUGAAAUCCCGGGGCUCAACCCCGGAACUGCCUUUGAUACUGGGAGUCUUGAGUUCGAGAGAGGUGAGUGGAAUUGCGAGUGUAGAGGUGAAAUUCGUAGAUAUUCGCAGGAACACCAGUGGCGAAGGCGGCUCACUGGCUCGAUACUGACGCUGAGGUGCGAAAGCGUGGGGAGCAAACAGGAUUAGAUAUCCGAGUAGUCCCUGUCUCUUAUAC
rnacentral:rRNA from 1 species